UACGUAGGGAGCAAGCGUUGUCCGGAUUUAUUGGGCGUAAAGAGCUCGUAGGCGGCUUAGCAAGUCGGGUGUGAAACCUCCAGGCUCAACCUGGAGACGCCACUCGAUACUGCUAUGGCUUGAGUUCGGUAGGGGUAAGCGGAAUUCCUGGUGUAGCGGUGAAAUGCGCAGAUAUCAGGAGGAACACCGAUGGCGAAGGCAGCUUACUGGGCCGAUACUGACGCUGAGGAGCGAAAGCGUGGGGAGCGAUCCGGAUUAGAAACCCGAGUAGU
rnacentral:rRNA from 1 species